AUGAAAACCAGCCCAGUCCUGACUCUGCAGCUCUGGGAGAGGAGCCCCCGCCCUGGGAUCCCCAGGAGUUUCCACUUGUUGAUCAGCACUGAACACAGACAAUCAACCACGGAGUUUGGGCUGAGCUGGGUUUUCCUUGUUGCUGUUUUAAAGGGUGUCUCUGUGUUUGCAGGUGUCCAGUGUGAGGUGCAGCUGGUGGAGUCUGGGGGAGGCUUGGUACAGCCUGGGGGUUCCCUGAGACUUUCCUGUGCAGCCUCUGGAUUCACCUUCAGUAACUACUACAUGCACUGGGUCCGCCAGGCUCCAGGGAAGGGGCUGGAAUGGGUAGGUUUCAUUGCAAGCAAAGCUUAUGGUGGGACAACAGAAUACGCCGCGUCUGUGAAAGGCAGAUUCACAAUCUCAAGAGAUGAUUCCAAGAGCAUCGUCUAUCUGCAAAUGAACAGCCUGAAAACCGAAGGCACGGCCGUGUAUUACUGUACUAGAGACACAGUAUCAUAUAGCAGUGCCCGCUCCUGGUGCAAAUUUUCUGGUCAUGGCAAUGACAUUCUCAAGGGUCACAUGCAGAUAAGAAAGUUGGUGGCAAUACGCGAGGAGAUGAUUCUGCAAUUCUCCUCUGAAGGACAAGGAAAGCCUGGACAGACCAUCUCCCCGGCCUCCAUGACUGCACCACCUGCCCACAUGGACACUCAUCCCUGA